GGCGAUUAAACACUGAUGAAUGUUAUAUUUCUGCCGACAGCUGCUCCUGAACGUUCCACGCUGGAGCUUUAAGUAAAAGUACAAAAGUAUUUGUGUCAAAAUGUUCUUAAAGUACCAAAAGUACCACACUUUCCUCAUGUUUAAGAAUUACUCACUUGUAUAAAGUCAGAACAACAAGACAAAAUAAAAGAAGAAUGAUCCAAAUCCGAGCAGCAGAGGGGGAGAUAUCCUGACUUUCAGUCCAAAAACACUGGGUCCUACAUUUCCCAUAAUGCACCUGGUCUUUGACAUUAGCGGGGAGAUGAAACUGAACAAAUAAAACCGGAGAGCUGUUUCAGUUUCUGGACAAACACCCGACGUCACAGAAAUCCGAGCUCGUUUGCUUUUUAAUGUUUAUACAGAAGUCGAAGAAACGACACGAGAGAAAGUUUGAGUCGAAACAUAAAUCUGAAAAAUCAAUAAAGAAGAAACAGAAGAGGACAAACAGUUUGACAAAACAAUCCAAAUGUGGUCGAAAGGUUCGUAAAAUCCAAGUAAGUGGACCUCGAACGAGGAACUCUUGAGCUUCUCCGAGUUCUUAAAGACAAAACGAGGCGGCAAACCAGACGCCAGCUGACAGAAUUUGUAUUUGUGAAUUAUGAAAUAAAACUGUGUCCAAAAAAACACAAUAAUGUCAUUAAAAAAUAAAAACAACUCGAUGAGGUCACCGCUUCAGAGGCUCGAACGCAGCUCGGGGGCCCAGAGACGCGUCGGGACACGUCGGACAGAUCAGAGAGAGUCGAUGUGACCGGCAGACCGGCUGAAAGCCGAUGUUCACCUUUAAAAACCGAUUUGUUUACCGUAAAUCAGCAUCAGAGGUUCGGAGUUUAGACUGAGCCGUUUCCUACCUGUUUACACAGACGCGACCACAUCAGAGCUGCCUUUGAUGACCACACACACACACAUACACACACACACACACACACACACACACACACACACACACACACACACACACACACACACACACACACACAGAUUAGUGUGUGUUUAUUCAUAUUUCAAAGCCGGAGGAAAUGUUUUGAAGCUGUUUGUGUGUGUGUGUGUGUGUGUGUGUGUGUGGGCUGAAGCUGCUGUGAUCUGCUGUCAGAGGAUCUAGCUGCCGUUAGCAUCAACACACCUGCUAGCUGCUAGCUAGCUCUUCUCCUUAAACCGGUUCAGACUCCCGGCUUCAUUCAGCGAGGAGGGAAACUCUGUGUCAACUGGACAAAACGCUUCACGCCGCCGCCGUGGGGAUUUAAAACGACAUCUCAUCUUAAUAAUAACAGUAAUAAACUUUAAUGAUGAUUACAAAUGUGAAAAUAGGUUCGUAGCACUGAGGUGUUGGCAGAUGGGUUUAGAUUAGCACAAGGUUCAGGUUAGAUCACCGAUUUGUUAAGAUCAUUAGCUCAGGGUUCAGGUUAGCUCGAGGCUAAGGUUAGCUGAAGGUUCAGGUUAACCUAUUAGCUUUCAGGUUAGCUCAGGGUUCAGGUUAACUUAUUAGCUUUCAGGUUAGCUCAGGGUUCUGGUUAACCUAUUAGCUUUCAGGGUUCAGGUUAACCUAUUAUCUUUCAGGUUAGCUCAGGGUUCAGGUUAACCUAUUAGCUUUCAGGUUAGCUCAGGGUUCUGGUUAACCUAUUAGCUUUCAGGUUAGCUCAGGGUUCUGGUUAACCUAUUAGCUUUCAGGGUUCAGGUUAACCUAUUAGCUUUCAGGUUAGCUCAGGGUUCAGGUUAGCUCAGGGUUCAGGUUAGCUCAAGGCUAAGGUUAGCUGAAGGUUCAGGUUAACCUAUUAGCUUUCAGGUUAGCUCAGGGUUCAGGUUAACCUAUUAGCUUUCAGGUUAGCUCAGGGUUCAGGUUAGCUCAGGGUUCAGGUUAGCUCAGGGUUCAGGUUAACCUAUUAGCUUUCAGGUUAGCUCAGGGUUUAGGUUAGCUCAGGGUUCAGGUUAACCUAUUAGCUUUCAGGUUAGCUCAGGGUUUAGGUUAGCUCAGGGUUCAGGUUAACCUAUUAGCUUUCAGGUUAGCUCAGGGUUCAGGUUAGCUCAGGGUUCAGGUUAACCUAUUAGCUUUCAGGUUAGCUCAGGGUUCAGGUUAGCUCAGGGUUCAGGUUAACCUAUUAGCUUUCAGGUUAGCUCAGGGUUAGCCAGCACAGAGAGUCAUUUUGUUGUAGAAAACAUGAAAACUGGGCGGCGGUUCUUCUCUUCUGUGUGAUGUAACAAGCUUUCUAUUAUAUUGCGACUGCUCGUAUCAGAGCUAACGCUAAUAUUAUCAGUGUCCGGGCCGCUGUGAAAUGAUUCUUUAUGAAAGAAAAACCGAGGCUCUGUGAGCUUUUCAUCCACUUCCUGUUUACUUUUCCACCUGACGGAGCUUCUGUGUGUCCUGUCGUCAUUUUCCUGAGGAAGAAACGAGCGUCGCAGGAAAUUAAAGAGCAGAUAAGAAGCGUGUGAACACACACACGAGCUGAUUUCCGUCCGGAUGCUUCUGUGGAAUCACACGCCUCGGUUUAACACGUGAAAACACUGAGUCCAGGUGAGGAGGCAAACACACGCAGGUACACAGGUGUUGUCCAACUUACAGCAGGUUUUAAUGGUGACACAGGUCAGAGGUCAGAUACAGACUCAGGUACAGUUUCACAUCUCAGCAGAAAACGUGAAGUGACACAUGUUUACAUGGAAAUCUCCUUAAUGCCAGACCCCCUUCAGAUAAUUAAGGGAUUUAUAAAUAGUGGAGGAGAAGAAAUUAUUUUUGUAUUUUUCACCUUUAACAACACUUUCUAAUAUAAUGACAAAUUCAGGAAGAAGAGAACCUUCAUCCCAAAGCUGUAUUUUUAGCGUUUUAGUUAAUUUCAAAUGAGAACGUUAAAUUAAGAGGCUCUUGGACUUGCCACUAAAUGAAAUUACAUUGAUUUGCUUUACAAAAAUAAAUGUAAUCCCUAUAAACACCAAACGGAGUCCAACUGACCGUUCGCUAAACUGCGGCAGCAGUAACUAGCAGGUGUGUCACGCAGAUAUUCUGUUUAAUACGAGUUUCCGAAACAGCAGGGAGUGGUUUAAACAGUGUGUUUGUCUUUGUCUGCUAACGUUAGCAUGUCCGGCUAAUUAGCUUAUUACCUAGCGCACCAUAUCAUUAGCGAACGCCAUUGUUUUGUGGGGUCACAGGUUAAAAAAAGCCCCGUGUGUUGGAUGCUAUUCGAGCUACGGCUAACGUUAGCGACUCUGUCCUGCAACACAAGCACAAUCAUUACACAGUGCCGAGUUAGCAUGAUAACAUGUAUUUAGCCGUGAAAUGCAUGUUUCUGACCCGUUUGCAGGUUUCUUAUUU